GACGAACGCUGGCGGCGUGCUUAACACAUGCAAGUCGAACGAAAAGGCCCUGAUUUUGUGGGGUGCUCGUUUGGCGAACGGGUGUGUAACACGUGAGUAACCUGCACUUGUCUUUGGGAUAUCUUCAGGGAACUGGGGCUAAUAUCGGAUAGGAUCUCCUGCUGCAUGGUGGGGGUUGGAGAGUUUCGGCGGUUUUGGAUGUAUUCGCGGCUUACCAGCUUGUUGGUGGGGUAGUGGCGUACCAAGGCUGUGACGGGUAGCCGGCCUGGGAGCGGGACCGGCCACAAGGGGACUGCGAGAGGCCGCAGUCUCCAACGGUAGGCAGUAGGGGAGAAUAUUGCACAGCGGGGCGACGCCUGUUGCGGCAACCCCGCGUGCGUGAAGACGGCCUUCGAGGUGUAAACAGAUUUCGCCUGUGACGAAGACUGAGUGACGGUAAUGGGUAAAGAAGCACCGGCUAACUACGUG
rnacentral:rRNA from 1 species